rnacentral:lncRNA from 1 species
CCACCAGGCUUGGGUGGACCCCACCUUGGAAGCAAUUCUGAAUAUGGGUCAGCAAGUCUAGAUUCAGCUGCCCGACAGCUGUUUUGUGACAGCCCUUGGGUCCUCCAAAUCAGCCUACCUCUUUGGAAUGCUGGGGAGACCCCAGUUAUGGAGAAAACAUGGUUCUGACCCUCAGGGGAGUACAGUCGGGUCACGGAGGCAGGGUGUAUAUGGCAACCGAGGAUUUCAUAGAAGGGCUCCAGGAGGGAUGACCUACUGCAGGAUGGAGGCCCUGGCUGCAGAUCUGGGAACCUCCCUCCUACUGGGAAGAAGCACAUUGCCGUCAUUCAGUCUCUUGUGAGUUGGGUUAUUAUGAGUCUGUUCGCCAGAGUCUGAGCUCUGAAAGGGAUGAGUGACUGGAUUGGUAAGGCAGAGAACUGACCCUCCUUCCAGCUGCAGAGAACUGCCAAGUCCCAUUCUUCGUGACAUCCUUCCUGUGUUGACACAGUGUUCUCCCCUCUCUUUAAAAUAACAACCUUUACUUGACCCUGCUGCCCAGGAACUUUCCUCUAAGAUUCUGCCAGGCUAUGCAGAGGGCAGACGUGAAUGCAGGCUAUAAAUCAGGAGCCCUCGUGACUCUUAGAUCCAUUAAUCCAUCAAGAGAAGAUUUGCUACCUCUUAGUGUUGAGGGAGAGACCAGAAAUCCUCUCACAGGAUUGACUAAAGGCUCAGGCACUACAUUUGAUACAAUUUACGACUCAGCACUUAGUGUGGUGAGCCUCAGGGG